UUCGAGUCUGAUAAUUUGGAGAUUGUGAAUCUCUUGAACUCGCGUCACAAUGACCGUGCGGUGGUGGCGCCUAUCUUGUCUGAAAUUAGGGAGCAUGUUCUCUUCUUUAAGUCUUUUGUAAUUCAGCAUGUUGGUAGGUCAGCUAAUGUUUCUGCUCACCUUUGUGCUAAGCAAGCUAGCACUCUACAUGUCACAGAAUGUUGGAUUGACUCUACACCGAGUCUUCUUGUAACCAGCCUCUCAGCUGAUAAUGGUGGAGCUGUUAGUGUUGAAUAA
rnacentral:rRNA from 1 species